UACGUAGGGGGCUAGCGUUGUCCGGAAUCAUUGGGCGUAAAGCGCGCGUAGGCGGCCCGGUAAGUCCGCUGUAAAAGUCAAAGGCUCAACCUUUGAAUGUCAGUGGAUACUGCCGGGCUAGAGUCCGGAAGAGGCGAGUGGAACUCCUGGUGUAGCGGUGGAAUGCGCAGAUAUCGGGAGGAACACCAGUGGCGAAGGCGGGUUACUGGGCUGAUACUGACGCUGAAUCACGAAAGCUAGGGGAGCAAACGGG
rnacentral:rRNA from 1 species